rnacentral:tRNA from 1 species
ACCUGGCUGGCUCAGUCAGUGGAGCCAGCGACUCUUGAUCUCAGGGUCGUGAGUUCGAGCCCCACGUUGGGUG